UUAAUUAUUUUAUCCUCCCAACUUACAUACGGUUCUCUCUCCUCAAAACCCUAACCUUAGCCCUAAAAUCAAAAUCAAAUUCGCCGUCUUUUCCUCUUCUUUCCUCCAUUGAUGUUUUGCAAAUAUUCAAUGGAAGUUACUCAUCAGAUCUAAGGUAAUAAUGUUUUUCUUUGAUGGUUUAUUCCUUUCCAAGAAAGUGUCAAUUGGAGCCUAUGGAUAUCUCAUUGGUAAUUCCGUCGCCGAGGAAAUGAGUGAUCUUGGAAUAGUUAACAAUUGGAGAUUUGGAGCUCGAAACUAUGUAUUGCAGCUUGUAUUAUUUGGAGCGCUUUCCUUUUCACCAUGGAGCUACCGCAACUUUUAACUUAUCUAAGAGUUUGAGGCAUUUUUUCCUAUUGAUUACUAUUUUUUAAAUUGAUUUGAUGAUCUUAAAUUUGCUUCACUUACACUCUUGUACCUUAUACUUUGUAUAAUGUAUAAUCUUUGUUGUACCAAUGUCGACUAAAAUGAAAAUUGUAAUUUAGUUUUGAUGGAUUGUGUUUAUUAUAAUUAUGAAUUCAUAUUUAUUCAUUUUGA